rnacentral:rRNA from 1 species
GGCUUAGAGUUUGAUCAUGGCUCAGGAUAAACGCUGGCGGCGCACAUAAGACAUGCAAGUCGAACGGACUUAACUCGAAGUUUACUUUGAGAGCGGUUAGUGGCGGACUGGUGAGUAACACGUAAGCAACCUGCCUAUCAGAGGGGAAUAACAGUGAGAAAUCAUUGCUAAUACCGCAUAUGCUUACACUAUCGCAUGAUAGAGUAAGGAAAGGAGCAAUCUGCUGAUAGAUGGGCUUGCGUCUGAUUAGCUAGUUGGUGAGGUAACGGCUUACCAAGGCGACGAUCAGUAGCCGGACUGAGAGGUUGAACGGCCACAUUGGGACUGAGAUACGGCCCAGACUCCUACGGGAGGCAGCAGUCGGGAAUAUUGCGCAAUGGAGGAAACUCUGACGCAGUGACGCCGCGUAUAGGAAGAAGGUUUUCGGAUUGUAAACUAUUGUCGUUAGGGAAGAUACAAGACAGUACCUAAGGAGGAAGCACCGGCUAACUAUGUGCCAGCAGCCGCGGUAAUACAUAGGGUGCGAGCGUUAUCCGGAAUUAUUGGGUGUAAAGGGUGCGUAGAUGGGAAGACAAGUUAGUUGUGAAAUCCCUCGGCUCAACUGAGGAACUGCAACUAAAACUAUCUUUCUUGAGUGUCGGAGAGGAAAGUG